ACAUACAGAUUAAAUUUGUAGUCACACAUACAUUUGUGAUACUAAUUACGUAAGUAAGCCUAUUCAUUGCCAGUCUGUGAAGAGGUUUCAGCAUCCAAAGUCAUAUGGAACAAGUCCCUUCAGCUCCGGACCGUUAAGUCUGUUGUUUUCAAAACUGAAACAUAUAAUAAAUCUAACAUUAGCAAGUUAUCUAAAUUAGUCCAGCCUCAAAUUAAAAAUGCCAACAUCAUAUACUUGCUAAGAACUCAAGUUCCUGAAUGGCUCUUCUAACAAGCAAGAUAGAUUGCAAAUCUAUUCGUCUAUUUUUCUUUAGAUGUUUCAUUCAAAUCAGUCAUAUCUCAUGCAUGCAUGUCAAAUAUGGUCUUCUAAUCCUGUUUUGAAAUAAGCUAGGCCCUGGAGUGAUAGACAGUACCUUAUACUGUAUAAAAAUGGUACUUAUUAGAAAUUAGGAUGCUUAAUUUGGUAAAUGUUCCGGAAUUUAUACAGAUGAAGUAAAAGAACGAAUUUGACGCCCGGUUUUUCAUGUUGGGAUAAAACAGGUCUUGGUUUCACUGUACUCUACCUAUUGACUGCCAAGCAGUGGGAAUUUGAUAUACUUGGUGCGAGAGACCGUAUUACGAGUUCUAAAUGACUAUAUCUUGCAUAUUUAUCAGGAUAUAUUUGGAUCAAUAAGUCAUAUACUGUUAAUUGUUAAGAAUGUACUAAAUGGACUAAUGGGAUAAAUCAUAACAGAAUUGCUGUACCUUUCCACUGGGAAAGAUCCGAAGUUGCCAUCUAUUGGUAUUGUUCCACAGAGGUCAUUAUUGGAAACAUCACUGUAACAUUGAGUUUCAAAUUAGCUGAUAUGUCGAUUACAAAAACAAACACAAAAAUAAAUGAAUAGAUAGGACUAAAGAAAGAUACUAAUGAAAUUGAGCUCAAAUUCCUAAUAAAUAACAGGAAGAAAAUGAGAUGAAAAAACGUACAAGACUUUCAGAUUGGCGAGACCCGUGAGUUGUCUUGGGAUUGAUCCUGUUAGCUUGUUGUUGUUCAGCCUCCUAAUUUAUCAAUGCAAUGGAGUGAGAAAGAGAGGCAGCAAUUUAUACAUCACUUGAAAUUAAGAACAAAGGAUCAAAAGUCUUUGGCAAAUCAACAUAAAUAUGCUUACAGAAAUUUAAGUGAUUUCAAUUUGCCAAAUGACUUCGGGAUUUUCCCUUCAAAUUUGUUACCAUACAAAUCCAUGCUAAUAAGUGCUUUCAAGUUACCAAGUUCGUCAGGAAUUUUCCCUCUAAAGUCAUUGCUAUAGAGCUCCCUGCAAUUAAGAAUUACAGAAUAUAUAAUAUAGUAUAUAUGCUAAAUAGAUACUGUGAAUGAGUUGGUCAAAAUGUAUCAAUCUAAAAAAAGUAUAUAUACACUCCAAAAUAAAACAUCAUGCACACUCAUAAGUCCCAAGGAACUCAUUUUGGUGUACUAGGCUGAGUUUGUCAUGUGAUCAUGUCAUUACAUUUUUUAACAUUACAAAUUAGCAGGGAUGAAAAAAGUUAAGGAUUUCAACCUUUAGAACCAAAUUGAUAAAAUUAAUCUUUACAGCGACUACAUCAUAAAUCAAUACACAUUUUAGAGACCAAAAUAAGGUGUUAGUCCUUAUUUAAGUAGUAAAAAAUUAAACAUUUGUUUGUUCCAAGUUAGAGGUAGGAUUAAAUUUUAGGAAUAGUUCAUAAUUUGGUACAUCAGCAUGUUGAAUUUCAUAGUUUAAAUAAUAUCAGAUGCCACAUGCUUUCAAACUAAAGAACAUAUCAAACAUAUAAUAAGUUCAUCUCAGCAGUAUUGAGAACAUACAGGUACCGCAGAUGAUGUAGCAGGCCAAGUUCUGGGCCCAGAGCUCCAGAAAUAUUAGAAUUACCCAAGUCUCUGAAAUUCAAACAUCACACACCUGAUUAGAAAGCCCAAGCCCAAGCCCAAACACAGUAAUUAGGAAAAACAAUAAUGAAGAUAGGAGUAAAGUAAGUAACGGGCAUAAAAAAGAAAGGGAGAAUCUCAAUCUCACAAGCGAAUCACAUGAUUAUUGGAGUCACAUGUAAUAUGGAACCAAGUACAAGGAUUAACAAGAGUUGGGUCCCAGCUGUGAAGCACGUUGUUUGGGUCAGAAAGUCUGGUUCUCAAAGCAUGCAAAGCAUUCCCUACAAGAAAAAACAUCAUCAUGUCUAAACAUAUGAUGGAGCCUAACCCAUUUUUUAUUGCUAGCUAGCUCCAUGGAGGCAUGGCUCUUUGCCUGUUCGAGACCGCAAGUUUAAUACGGGCCGCCAAAAUGCUACAGGGCCAUUGGGCAAGCCACAAAACCUUGCAUCUGAAGAAUUGAUCUCCAAGAGACUAGAGCAGCAGAGUGCAAUGGAACUGAAUUCCCUUGGCAGCAGACCUCCUGUUUCCGUUGAAGAUGGAGAAGAGGUUGAACAGAUGGCAGGAAGCCCUAGCAUCCAGAGUAGGAGCCCUGUUACAGCUCCUCUUGGUAUAUCCAUGAAUUUUGGCAGCUGUCGUAAGCUUCUUUCUAAUGUGUCACUGUGCAAUAAAUAUUAUGAAGAAACCUGUCACAGCCGCGGGCAUCUCCCUGAUUCCAGAUCUUUGAGGAGUUGUUUGGAGCAGAAGUUGGAAAAGGAGGGUUUGACUGUGUCAGUGGAUUGUGUAAAUGUAUUGAAUAAUGCACUGGAUUCAUAUCUGAAGAGGUUGAUUGAGUCCUAUCUGAAUUUAUCUGGGUCAAGAAAUGAGGAGCUUAUACAACCACAUGGAAGGUUGAGGACUGGCUCAAACAGAUUGUGUCCUGGAAGAUAUAUGCACACAACAACACAAUCUGCUGGCACAUCUCUCUUAGACUUUCGUGUUGCAAUGCAAUUAAAUCCACAAGUUCUUGGACCAGAUUGGCCUAUACAGUUUGAGAAGAUUUGCAUGCGUUCUUCUGAAGAAUGAAGCCUUUGUUAUAAGUAGAUCAGAAAUUUACUAAUAGAUGGAACCUUUGAAUGUUUAACUGAUUACUUUAGCUGACAUAUCCUUCAUUUUUUGUCUUUUCCUGAAGACACACAUUUGGCAAAACAGAAUAAGCCAUAUAGCAUUUUAGUUAUAGAGAUAUCUGAUGAUUGUGAUGGAGCGAAAACAUUUGUACAAAAUUAUGUGAACAUCUAGACUGGGUUAAGAAGUUCAUUGUUUCAAGUGUGAAUCGUGUGACAUCAUUUUUCAAUCAAUGUAUGCAGCUCUCUCAUUCUUGUUUGUCUUCCCUUUUCUUCUUCUUUUCUUUUGUUUUAGUUCAACUCAAUUUUUGUUGAAAUAAAAUUCAAUUAAAAUAUCUUAACAUUAUCGUUGUGUAGUUUGGUCUACCUGUUAAACAUAUCAAUCUAGUGAAUCUACAUAGUUCUAUUCUUAGAAGUAGGUCUAACAAAUUUCAUUUGUAAAUUGGCCAAUACACCUAUAUCCAUAAAUAGGCCAAUUGUGCCUUAAACAUACCCCUGUUCAGACAGUAUAGCACAUUCCCACCUUUAACCACAAAUUGAGUCAUGACUUGAUAACCGCAAAUACUUGCAACUCACUUUUCUUUUCUUCAUAUUCACUCAUUCUUGACCUCUCAACUAUAUACACGGUUACAUUAUUUGACACAAGAGGUUCAACUCUCUCUUCACACUUUAAUAAGCACUGUAUUUACUAUUCAGUACUAUGUCACCGUGAUAUGCUAUGAUAUUUUGGAUUAUAUAUCAACCCCAUUUUCACUAUAAUUCUUUACUGUGAACUUCUCCCAUCACCACAAACAUUCAUUACCUUCGAUUUGAAUGAUUUGAGUUUCACUUUUAUGAUUUACUAAUGCGAACUUUGUGUAAAAAUUAGGAAGAAUAAGCAGCUGAAUAUGAUGAAAACAUUGAGGUGUGUGUCAAUCUUACUACAAAACUUUUAUUGGUAAAUCGACAUGCAAUUAACAUACAGAUUAAAUUUGUAGUCACACAUACAUUUGUGAUACUAAUUACGUAAGUAAGCCUAUUCAUUGCCAGUCUGUGAAGAGGUUUCAGCAUCCAAAGUCAUAUGGAACAAGUCCCUUCAGCUCCGGACCGUUAAGUCUGUUGUUUUCAAAACUGAAACAUAUAAUAAAUCUAACAUUAGCAAGUUAUCUAAAUUAGUCCAGCCUCAAAUUAAAAAUGCCAACAUCAUAUACUUGCUAAGAACUCAAGUUCC
rnacentral:lncRNA from 1 species